UACGUAGGGUGCAAGCGUUGUCCGGAAUUAUUGGGCGUAAAGGGCUCGUAGGCGGUCUGUCACGUCGGGAGUGAAAACUCAGGGCUUAACCCUGAGCCUGCUUCCGAUACGGGCAGACUAGAGGUAUGCAGGGGAGACUGGAAUUCCUGGUGUAGCGGUGAAAAUGCGCAGAUAUCAGGAGGAACACCGAUGGCGAAGGCAGGAUCUCUGGGCCACUACUGACGCUGAGACGCGAAAGCGUGGGGAGCAAACAGG
rnacentral:rRNA from 1 species